AAGGGUCGGCAAAACAACCAGUCGGUCUCGUUUGACAUGUCAAAGAGUGAAGACGCUGCCUUGCAUGUGAAGCCAAAUCGUUCUUCGCCUUCAGGAUUCUUGCCGUUUCAGGGAUCUGCACAACGACAGG